UGAGUCUAAUAAAAUUGAACGUUGAUU
rnacentral:piRNA from 1 species